GCCUGGGUGGCUCAGUGGUUGAGCAUCUGCCUUCGGCUCAGGUUGUGAUCCUGGAAUCCUGGGAUCGAGUCCCACAUCGGGCU
rnacentral:tRNA from 1 species